GGUGUGGGCAGUUCAAUUAGGUCUAGUGGGAGCGGCUGAUCAAACUAACUUAAGAGUUGGCUAGGUUUGGAUCAAGAGUAUUUCAGACAAAUCUAAUAGUUGUAAGUUUGGUCAGAUCGAUUAACAGCUAUAUGUUAUCGAUCAAUUUAAGACCUAAUUCGGCUCAGUGAUUCAAGCCUGGGUCAAUAGGUUAACCAGAUCAAUUCUA
rnacentral:lncRNA from 1 species